GGGGCCAGGAAGGGACGGAACCAUGAGGCUGGGUUUACACCAGCUAUGCGAAGCCCCUCCACUCUGCCCCUGCCUGCCAGGGGCUUUCUUGGCUCGGUCUGUUCCUGACAGAAGGGAUGCGUGUUGUUGGGGGUGGGGGGCUUGGCAUGUGUGUGAGUGUGAGAGAGAGGGAGAGUAUGUGUGUGUGUGUUUAAAACACAGAAAAAAGAAGCAUGGCUUUCCUCAGCUGCAGAGGCGGGCCGGGCUCUGCCCGUGCCAACUCCCUCAGAGCGGGCACCGUGGGGGACACAUGAUGGCACAAGAAGGCUGCAGAGGUGAGGGACGGGUGUGGAGGAAGAUGGACGCUUGCCAUCUCGAGUGCCAGCGGCUGAAUGAGGCCAGACCCAAGAACAAAACCCACAGCAGAUCGCUGGCAGCCCAUGUUAGGAGGCAGAAGACAGUUGGCAGCGCUGCCGCAGAGGACCAGCCUGGGAGCAGGCGGACGUAGGCAAGGCCAGCACGGAACAGGGCAAAUGGACCCCAGCAAGACUGCCUGCACAGGGGAACUUGCUUGCAGUCCAGCCUGAACCUCAGCCCUACAUCUUGUGAAGCUGCGCAGGUGCUGGCCCUCUCCCACGAGCUUCCGUCCCCUCAGGCAUCUCACAAGAGCCAGGUGUCCACCAUGCACAGAGAGGUCACCUGCACAGGGCAGCUGUUCCCUGUGACAAGUGAAGGUGCUGGGAAGUUCAGAACAGGCCCCUGGACUCAGCAGAGUACAGGAAUCCAUGAUGUAGACAAUCUGCUGUUUCUACUGCUGUUUUGUUUUCUGACAUUUCUCAUGCUUGCAUUUGAAGCACAUGUAUACACAUUAUAGAUAAAGCUUCCAGAGGAACCAGUCUUUGUGGACAGAGGGCCUUGACAUCUCCUGGCCUGUUGGAGUUUGGCAUUCUGAAGACCAUUCCAAUGGAGUGCCCCCAGCUGUGGCUACUUCUCUAGCCAGCUCUGGAGUCUGCACCUGAGGAAGCCCCACCCUUGCUCAGCCCCUCAACCUGGCUCAGAUAUGACUAUGGGCAGCCUUCCUAAGCCCCAGCCCUGGAGCAUAGAGGUUCAGGACCUUCUUGGGGCCACUGCUGCGGAGCACAGACUUAAGAGCAACUCGAUCCUCUGAGCACGGAGCAUGCUCUGCUGUCCACCCACUCAGGAGUCGUGCAGCCAACACCACUUUUGCUUACAGCCCAGACAGGAUGCUGGAACAUCGAAGGGGGACCUAUCAGCUUCUUUCAGGGCCAACCCAUGACAACCCUCUGCAGAGUCACUGUGCGUGGGGUCCUUAGUCUCUGCCCAUGUGUCACCUGCCUGGACCCUUCUGACAAUAAACAUGCCCUCUAGCUGGGUGGCUGCAUCACCACACGUGACAAUCCUCAGCAGACAAGCUAAGUUGUGGCCUUCUGUAGCCUGAGUCCUCUCAUCUCGGAAGGGGAAACCGGCUGCUUGCCCUGCCCAGAGAAGGAUUCAGGCUAAAACCCACCUUCCCAAGAUUGGUGAUGCCUUCCCUGGACUCAGUGGUGACAGCAUGCAUCUAAGGGCUGUCACGGAGGAAAAGGCAGAGCCUGGGAUUCCCAGCCCUGUUCCUACCUCUGAAGAAGCAGGAGGCCCCAGCCUACCCCCUCCUCUGAUGUUUGCUGUUUUGUUGUUGUUGUUAAUUCCUCACCAGGUGGAACCAGCACUGUGGGGCUUAAUUAAGCUCAGCCAGCUGUUGCUGAACACGGGAAUGCAGUGCGUGGCAGAGUCAGCCUGGAGCAGUGGAGUGGGGAGGGCUGGGGCCACAGAAUCCCAGGGAUAGAUGGAAUGCGGUCUGAGUUUGAGGAGUGUAAAGCUGGAGCUGCUGGGGGGGGGUACUCCGUGGGCAGGUCCAAGGAUGCCAACUGCUGCUUUCCAUCCUCUCCCCUCCUCCACGCAUUGACAGACCUCAGCUCCUGAGCACUGAGAUUCACCCACCUUCACAAAGGACAAAGGGAAACUUCACAGAGAUGAGAGAGCCCGGGGGAAGCCUUAGGGAUGUGCCGCCCAACACUGGGGCAGGAGUUCCGGAAGGAGUCAGGAGAUAGAGGUAGAGAGAGAGGGAGGGAGAGAGAAAGGAGAGGGAGAGAGAAAGGAGAGGGAGAGAGCAGAGGCAGGGCGGGAAUAGCGUGGAGGUAAGUGGGGUGUGAGUUGUAUUAAGGGGACAUGUAGGAGAGUGUGUAUACAUGUGUGUUGGAGAACUGUGCAUGAUGUGUGUAUGCAUGCAUGCAGUGGUGGGAAGCACGGGCACAGGUAUACACAGCUCUGUGUGUAUGCAGUGGGUCAGGGUGGGCUGUGAGGUUCUCUGUUCACAUGGGUGGUGGUUAGACAGGUUCUGUUUUCCCCCAUGGUGGUUCAUAGAACUAUACUCACUCCACGAGACGCUGAUAGAUAUUUCAAUAAACUGCUUAUUUGGGAGUGCCAAGCACUGGGCCAAAUGAAGAAGCGCUGAUAUGCUGCCAUGGUAAGGGAUGGGGUACCCCUGGAGCCCUUUAUCCAAGGUGUGGGUAAGGUGAACAUGUCUGGUUAGGGGAGUCACGUGCAGAAAGUGAGCAGAGCCAGGAACUAACAUGAAGGUCUAUUCUUUUACCUCCAGAGAAGGUAAAGAAAUGUGCCACAUCCACACCUCAGACGCCAACUCCCUCACGUCCAACUGUCAGCCACCCCAAAGAUAGAACCUCUGGACAUAGCAGAAGACACCCCAGAGGCCAGCAGAGGUGCCCAACCCUCAGUGAGACACUGCCACACAUCCAUCUGUCCACACGGGCAAUGACAACACCACCACCAUCUUCCCAGGACUAGUGAGGACUAAGGGUGACAGGCACAGUUGCUCGCAGGCCACAGGGGCUAAACUAUGUCCCUCCGUUCUCGAAAGCUGUUAGCUAGAGGAGUAAAUGCAACCCAUGUCAUCUUUAUUCUGCUCGUCACUCCUGCCUAUCCAUGGACCUGCACUCUGCUUGUCAUUCCUGCCAGACGUAGACCUCAGCAUGGGGUGAAGUGAGUUCACUCUGUGACUGGGUCAGAAGUGGAAGGGUAAACAGUAUCAUUCUGGGGCUGUACUCCAGUUCCGUAAGUCCUUCAACAAAACUGUGCCCUGUAGGGACAGAGGCAGGCAGCAUUGCCCCGAGGAAUGAGGGAUCCGACAGGCAGGUGAAGGCUUUGGUUCAUGUGUGUUUGGAUGUAUGGAACUCCAUACAGGGUUUCUGGGGAAAGUGAUGGGGGGUGGGGGCAAGGCAUGUGCCUGGGGCACAGUUAGCCAGCAUUUUCCCAGGCUGUGCACAACAGUCAACUGGCCCCGCUUUUGCUACUGUGUUUUUCUGACUGUCACUACCCAGUACCUAAGGUCGUCUUUGGGACCAGGUGAAGGCAGUCAGCUCCAGAGCUCACACAGAUGUCUUUGUUCUAGUUAAGAAUGGGAGUCGGCCCUGGUUCCCAGCCCCACCUGAAGACCAUCAGAACCGCUCUUCCCCAGUCCCCUGUGGGAAUGAGAAUGAAGGGCAGGUGAGGAGCCAGCCACACUGGCCUCCCGGCUCUCAGAGCCUGACUUCGCCUGCUCUGCGGCUCACCUGAAACCACGCUUGAGCAGGUUGCUCAGGCCCUGCCCAGAGAUGUUGCUCCCCGUAUUUCCUGUCCCCCAAGGGUAUUUCCAUUCCUGGUUGAUACAUACAAUCUUGGAUGAGUGACACACACCUUACCCCACGAGUUUGCAGGUCCGUUUUGAUUCCUGCCAAGAAAGUGCACCUGAGUCUGAAAUACUUUGGGGAAUUGCUGCAUGGGGGUAUUUGGCUCCCUAGACUGGUCUGUAUGUGAGUUGUUCUCACCUGGGAACUUCAUGUUGGUCAGAUGGGGAAUAGGGAGGUCCCAGACACCAUCCAUAUUUGCUCUCCUUUGUGUCUCGGGAUUUUUGUCUAUGGGCCUGCCCUGCUGGGAUUGAAUCCCAGGUCCAUGUAUACUAGAGCAGCACUGAGCCACGGCCCAGCCCUUCCAGGUUUGCUCUGGGGGGAGCUUACCUGCUUUAGAAAGAUGCCCCCAAAUUGUGCUAUUAUUUUUGCAGGAUGGCCCUGGCAGGGAUGGCAUCUUUGGUGAGGUCAGAGGGCGGAAGGCAAAGCAGGGUCACCAAGAGUUUUGACAUGAAGUUGACACAGGCUGAGAAAGAGGAGCCAGGAGGCUAGACAGUCUGGAGUAAACAUGCCCCCUAUCCGCCAGUCCCAAAGACGGGGGCUCAGAUUCCCCGGCUCCUGCCCAGCGCCCGUGGGGCCAAAGUUCACUUAGCAAUGCAGGCCUUGAGCCCGAUCACCCCAGGCAGACCUCACGACAGUGUGUAUGCUUCUGAGUAAUUCUCUUCUGGGGAGAGGGCGUCACCCUUGUGGGCAGGAAAAGGCAGCAGAGGCACUUGGAGGGUGUAUCCCAGGAGUACCAGGGCCCAGCGCUGGCCCUGCACAAGCUCCAGAAGGAACUCUCACUUGGAAACAGCCAAGGACUGUGAAAACCUCCCGACCAUACUUGUUUACAGCUUGGUUUAACUCUUUUUCCAUUUCUCUCUCCCUUUGGGUGUCUUGACCUGAGUCUCCUCUCCUUUCUGGGCAAAAGGCCUGGCCUUAGGGGCCACAGUAUGGGUCCCAAGGAACCCUCAAAGGUCAUAGGAUUCUGCGCUUGGGAGAGACUGGAGCCUGGGGGAGCUCCGCCAGCCUGGCCACACCUGUAGCCGGUCCACCACUCAUCCCCCCACCUUGCUCCAACCCAAGCCUGCUGCCCUACAACCACAUCUGACCACAUCACCCCUCCAAGAUGUCGCCUGACCUCCACCUCCACCUGGCCCUUGUUCUGACUCAAGAGGAGCAGACUUCUGGCAAAAGGGGUUAAGGGUGGUUUUACCCAUCACCUACUCAGCUGGCCUGGGCUACAUUUCCCAGUCUCCUUCCCCGUGGAUUUCGGGCUUAGGCCACAUAGAAAAGUUCUGGGGAGCUGGAGGGAGGUGUUUGCCUACAGUUCCUGCCUGCUGGGCCACUAUUGCCCCUCUACAUUUUUUGGCUUCUUGGAGUCAGGUUAGCACCCUCAUGAGGUCACAGGCACAACCAUGAGGUACCUUCCACCUGUGCUCUGGGGUCAGCCCUCACUUCGAAGAUGCCUCUCUCAUGCUUGGAAGCAUCCCCAGCCCCGUCCACAGAGCAGACUGAGCAGGCACAGUGCAAGGCCACAAGCACAUGAGCACUGUUACGGUUUGGACGAGAAGUGUCCUCCAGACAGCCCCUGUCGUAGGCUUGUCUUCUGAUCUGGCAGCACCCAGAGUUGGAACCUCUGGGAGGGGACUGGAUCACCAAGGUUGAUGGCACCAGGAAGCAGGGGAAAGGGGCCUCCGUGGAGAAAGUAGGGAGCCGGAGGCAUGGCAUUUUCCUGCCGCUUCCCCUCUAUAUCCCUCUGCCUCUGGCACACCGACACAAAGUGAGCAGCUUUGCUCUGCCACACGGUCGCAUGAGGCCCACAGGACCGCUGCCAGCUGGCCACGGACUGGAGCCUCGGAAACCAUGA